AGCGAACGCUGGCGGCAGGCCUAACACAUGCAAGUCGAGCGGCCACAUCGGAGUCAGCGGCAGAUGCGUGUGGCACACGUCGGAACGUACCCUUUGGUACGGAAUACCGCUGGGACAUGAGCGAUAAUACAGGAUACGCUCUUCUGGGGAAAGGUAGGCUGUCGUAGGAUAGGCACGCGUGGGAUAAGCUGGUUGGUAGGGUAAUAGCCUAUGACGGCGUCGAUCAGUAGCUGGGCAGAGAGGAAGCGCAGCGACGCUGCGGGUGGGACACGGCCCGGAAUCUUACGGGAGGGGGCAGUGGGUGAUAUAGGACAAUGGGGGCAGGCCUGAUGCAGCCAUGCCGGGUGAGUGAUGAAGGCGGUAGAGAUGUAAAGCUCUUUUAUCCGGGACGAUAAUGACGGUACCGGAAGAAUAAGCCCCGGCUAACUUCGUG
rnacentral:rRNA from 1 species